CAGAGGGGGACAACAGUUGGAAACGACUGCUAAUACCGCAUACGAUCUAACCUCGGCAUCGAGGAAAGAUGAAAGGUGGCCUCUAUGUAUAAGCUAUCACUGAAGGAGGGGAUUGCGUCUGAUUAGCUAGUAGGAGGGGUAACGGCCCACCAAGGCGAUGAUCAGUAGCCGGUCUGAGAGGAUGAACGGCCACAUUGGGACUGAGACACGGCCCAGACUCCUACGGGAGGCAGCAGUGGGGAAUCUUCCGCAAUGGACGAAAGUCUGACGGAGCAACGCCGCGUGAGUGAUGACGGCCUUCGGGUUGUAAAGCUCUGUUAAUCGGGACGAAAGGCCUUCUUGCGAAUAGUGAGAAGGAUUGACGUACCGGAAUAGAAAAGCCCCGGUA
rnacentral:rRNA from 1 species